UAAGUAACCUGCCCUGGACUUUGGGAUAACCCUCGGGAACGGGGGCUAAUACCGGAUAUGACAUGCUCUCGCAUGGGGGUGUGUGGAAAGUUUUUCGGUCUGGGAUGGGCUCGCGUCCUAUCAGCUUGUUGGUGGGGUGAUGGCCUACCAAGGCGACGACGGGUAGCCGGCCUGAGAGGGUGACCGGCCACACUGGGACUGAGACACGGCCCAGACUCCUACGGGAGGCA
rnacentral:rRNA from 1 species